GACAGAGGUGGCAAGCGUUGUUCGGAUUCAUUGGGUGUAAAGGGUUCGUAGGUGGCCCAGCAAGUCUGAUGUGAAAUCCCAUGGCUCAACCGUGGAACUGCAUUGGAAACUGCAGGGCUUGAGUACCGCAGAGGUGAAGGGAAUUCCCGGUGUAAGGGUGAAAUCUGUAGAUAUCGGGAGGAACACCAGUGGCGAAGGCGCUUCACUGGGCGGUUGCUGACACUGAGGAACGAAAGCAAGGGGAGCAAACAGG
rnacentral:rRNA from 1 species